rnacentral:tRNA from 1 species
CCCACUGUAGCUCAGUUGGUAGAACAUGGCGCUUGCAAUGCCAGGGUUGUGGGUUCGAUUCCCACAGGGGGC